GACGAACGCUGGCGGCGUGCCUAAUACAUGCAAGUAGAACGCUGAAGAGAGGAGCUUACUCUCCUUGGAUGAGUUGCGAACGGGUGAGUAACGCGUAGGUAACCUGCCUUGUAGCGGGGGAUAACUAUUGGAAACGAUAGCUAAUACCGCAUAACAAUGGAUGACACAUGUCCUUUAUUUGAAGGGGCAAUUGCUCCACUACAAGAUGGACCUGCGUUGUAUUAGCUAGUAGGUGAGGUAAUGGCUCACCUAGGCGACGAUACAUAGCCGACCUGAGAGGGUGAUCGGCCACACUGGGACUGAGACACGGCCCAGACUCCUACGGGAGGCAGCAGUAGGGAAUCUUCGGCAAUGGGGGCAACCCUGACCGAGCAACGCCGCGUGAGUGAAGAAGGUUUUCGGAUCGUAAAGCUCUGUUGUAAGUCAAGAACGGGUGUGAGAGUGGAAAGUUCACACUGUGACGGUAGCUUACCAGAAAGGGACGGCUAACUACGUG
rnacentral:rRNA from 1 species